rnacentral:rRNA from 1 species
UACGAAGGGGGCUAGCGUUGCUCGGAAUUACUGGGCGUAAAGCGCACGUAGGCGGAUUGUUAAGUCGGGGGUGAAAUCCUGGAGCUCAACUCCAGAACUGCCUUCGAUACUGAAGAUCUCGAGUCCGGGAGAGGUGAGUGGAACUGCGAGUGUAGAGGUGAAAUUCGUAGAUAUUCGCAAGAACACCAGUGGCGAAGGCGGCUCACUGGCCCGGUACUGACGCUGAGGUGCGAAAGCGUGGGGAGCAAACAGG